AAUUUUGAAGGGCCGCAGUAUUCUGACUGUGCAAAGGUAGCAUAAUCAUUUGCCUUUUAAUUAAAGGCUAGUAUGAAUGGUUGAACGAAAUACAAACUGUCUCAUUUUUAUAAUUUUAAAAAUUUAGCUUUCUAGUUAAAAGGCUUGAAUAUUAUUAGAGGACGAGAAGACCCUAUAGAACUUUAUAUAAUUUUAUUUAAGUAUUUAUAGUAAAAUAAUUUUAUUUAUUUACCAUUAUAUUUUGUUGGGGUGACAGGAAAAUUUAUUUAACUUUUUUAAUUUAAUACCAUUGAUUUAUGAAUAUUUGAUCCAUUAUUAUUGAUUAUUAGAAUAAGUUACCUUAGGGAUAACAGCGUAAUUUUGUUGGAGAGUUCAUAUCUAUAACAAAGUUUGCGACCUCGAUGUUGAAUUAAAGAAAUUUUAGAGUGCAGA
rnacentral:rRNA from 1 species